CGGCGAGUGAAGCGGCAACAGCUCAAAUUUGAAAUCUGGCCCCCGGGUCCGAGUUGUAAUUUGUAGAGGAUGCUUUUGGUGCGGUACCUUCCGAGUUCCCUGGAACGGGACGCCAUAGAGGGUGAGAGCCCCGUCUGGUCGGAUACCAAUCCUCUGUAAAGCUCCUUCGACGAGUCGAGUAGUUUGGGAAUGCUGCUCUAAAUGGGAGGUAUAUGUCUUCUAAAGCUAAAUAUUGGCCAGAGACCGAUAGCGCACAAGUAGAGUGAUCGAAAGAUGAAAAGCACUUUGAAAAGAGGGUUAAACAGUACGUGAAAUUGUUGAAAGGGAAGCGCUCAUGACCAGACUUGGGCCCGGUCAAUCAUCCACCGUUCUCGGUGGUGCACUUGGCCGGCCCCAGGCCAGCAUCAGUUCGGCGUGGGGGAUAAAGGCAGCGGGAAUGUGGCUCCCCCGGGAGUGUUAUAGCCCGCUGUGUAAUACCCUGUGCUGGACUGAGGUUCGCGCAUCUGCAAGGAUGCUGGCGUAAUGGUCAUCAGCGACCCGUCUUGAAACACGGACCAAGGAGUCGUCUUCGUAUGCGAGUGUUCGGGUGUCAAACCCCUACGCGUAAUGAAAGUGAACGCAGGUGAGAGCUUCGGCGCAUCAUCGACCGAUCCUGAUGUUCUCGGAUGGAUUUGAGUAAGAGCAUACGGGGCCGGACCCGAAAGAAGGUGAACUAUGCCUGUAUAGGGUGAAGCCACAGGAAACUGUGGUGGAGGCUCGCAGCGGUUCUGACGUGCAAAUCGAUCGUCAAAUAU
rnacentral:rRNA from 1 species